rnacentral:tRNA from 1 species
GAGGAAAUAGCUUAUAAUAAAAGUGUUAGAUUUGCAUUGAAUAGAUGUAAGGUGAAGUGAAGCAGUCCUUG